rnacentral:rRNA from 1 species
AUUGAACGCUGGCGGCAUGCCUUACACAUGCAAGUCGAACGGUAACAGGUCUUCGGAUGCUGACGAGUGGCGAACGGGUGAGUAAUACAUCGGAACGUGCCUAGUAGUGGGGGAUAACUACUCGAAAGAGUGGCUAAUACCGCAUGAGAUCUACGGAUGAAAGCAGGGGAUCGCAAGACCUUGUGCUACUAGAGCGGCCGAUGGCAGAUUAGGUAGUUGGUGGGAUAAGAGCUUACCAAGCCGACGAUCUGUAGCUGGUCUGAGAGGACGAUCAGCCACACUGGGACUGGGACACGGCCCAGACUCCUACGGGAGGCAGCAGUGGGGAAUUUUGGACAAUGGGCGCAAGCCUGAUCCAGCAAUGCCGCGUGCAGGAUGAAGGCCUUCGGGUUGUAAACUGCUUUUGUACGGAACGAAAAGCCCUGGGUUAAUACCCUGGGGUCAUGACGGUACCGUAAGAAUAAGCACCGGCUAACUAGGUGCCAGCCGCCGCGGUAACAC